rnacentral:rRNA from 1 species
GACGAACCGUGCGAACGUUGUUCGGAAUCACUGGGCUUAAAGGGCGCGUAGGCGGGCUGUCGCGUCUGGGGUGAAAUCCUCCGGCUCAACCGGGGAAGGGCCUCGGGUACGGACGGCCUCGAGGGGGGUAGGGGCGUGCGGAACUGUGGGUGGAGCGGUGAAAUGCGUUGAUAUCCACAGGAACUCCGGUGGCGAAGGCGGCACGCUGGACCCCUUCUGACGCUGAGGCGCGAAAGCCAGGGGAGCGAACGGG